CUAGGGAGUCUGCGCGGGCGCGGGGCGCAGGAGCUGCUCCAGUGACGGGCUGCUGACUCUCAGUCUUCUCUGACUCUAAAUGUGGAGUCCUUUAUAAAUAACUUUUGUGAUUAAAAAGGACAGGUCGGUGAGGGAUGAAAUGUGAUUCGAGGGUGACACGAAGGAAUUGUUUUCCGUGAGACAGAGGGACACGUGCAGCUGGGGCGAAGGGAGUGUCCAUAAUUCCCCAGCUGCUGGGGCUGCGGAGCAAAACGGGACUUCCACUGUCAGGAACUAGAAACCAGGCGAAUCAAACCGGGGGAACUGAGGCUCUGUGAUGCCGGGUGCAGAACAAACAAGAAGCAAGGCUGAGAGCUACGGUCUUCAGUGGUCUUUCAACAACCAAAGUGGCUCUACCAAGGGCGUUGUGCUAAACGGCUGCCUCUGUGGAGGCCACAGCCCACGUCUCAGCUGACCGCCCCUCGGCCAGUCAUCAGCGUGAAGCGCAGAGGAGCUCCCAGAGGAGUCAGCGUGUCGGUUGUUCAGAGAAGCCUCUUAUUCAGCCAAAUCCAGAAGGGAGCGGCACAGAGACAAAAGGUGCUUUCGUGGCCCUCUCAUUUGCAUUCUGCCACUAAAUGCUUAAAUACAAAUGUUUUUUAAAAAACC
rnacentral:lncRNA from 1 species